rnacentral:rRNA from 1 species
AUCUAAGCGUGAAGCCCCCCUCAAGAUGAGAUAUCCCAUUCUUAUGAAGUAAACCCCCUUGAAGACGACGAGGUAGAUAGGGCAGAGGUGGAAGUGUGGCAACACAUGGAGCUGACUGUUACUAAUCGGGUGAGGGCUUGACCAA